rnacentral:sRNA from 1 species
UGGAGCUCAACCUGAACGUUUGACCUGGUUCAUAUCGUGUCUUGUUCAUGUUCAGAUUCUGUGUCUGUGUGUGUCGUGCCGGGUAUCAUCAACAAUGUUAUAUUUCUCACCCAUGCAGUCAUUUGACUUAAAACAAGCCGUGCUAGACUUUGGGGGAAAUUUUCUGAUGCAGGAUCACUAUUGACAUUUUUUAAAAAUCUGAUCCUAUACUAUCCUGUGUACAAGUCAUUCUGAAGCAA